rnacentral:rRNA from 1 species
AUUGAACGCUGGCGGCAGGCCUAACACAUGCAAGUCGAGCGAGCGGCGGAGGGGUGAGUAAUGUAGGGGGACUGCCCGAUAGAGGGGUAUCACUAGGGGAAACGGUGGAUAAUCCCGCAUACUAUCGGAUAACCCAUAGGGGUUGAGCUAGUAGGUGGGGUAAAGGCUCACCUAGGCGACGAUCCCUAGCUGGUCUGAGAGGAUGAUCAGCCACACUGGGACUGAGACACGGCCCAGACUCCUACGGAGGCAGCAGUGGGGAAUAUUGCACAAUGGGCGCAAGCCUGAUGCAGCCAUGCCGCGUGUAUGAAGAAGGCCUUAGGGUUGUAAAGUACUUUCAGUGGGGAGGCGUUACCCGCAGAAGAAGCACCGGCUAACUCCGUGCCAGCAGCCGCGGUAAUAC